AUGUUUACCACAUCAUGGAAGCUAACAUUACUGGUUUUGGUUGUUUUUCCUCUCAUUUCAAUUGUUGUAUCCCAAGUUGGAAGUUGUCUUCAUGAAGUUUCCCACAAAACUAAAUCUAUUGCAGACGUUGCGUCCUUAAUUGAUGAGGUGCGUAUUGACCAUUUUACCCCUAUUUGUUAUAAUACCAAUGCAAUUGUUAUCACAUCCAACAUUCUUUUGUAUCCAAACCUCUUUUUUCCUGGUGAAAGUGGUGUAGAUCAGCUGCAAGCAACACUAAACAAUCUACUCAAGAGUACAUUACACCAAAAACAGCUAAAGUUCAGGAGGCUUAUGAAAGUGCUAUGGUGGCUAAGUUUGGUGAUGAUACUAGUUGCCACCCCCUCUUGGAUAAUGAAACAUGGAUUCGGAUCUGUGUCUGAUCCAACGAGCUUUUUGGAAGGAACAUCCCAAGAGGUAAAAACAAUGGAAAGGGUAUAUGUUGAAAAAGGUAGCAAACCAAAACCUGAUAAUAUGGUAUUACCAGUUAUAGAAGAGUCAAGAAAGGUAGUCAAUCUUAUGCCACAAGGAAAGACUAUAGCCAUAACUGAUGAAGAAAUAUUAGAGAUGGUGUUGUUUCCUGUGGUAAAGGAAGCAUGUCAUGUUUUAGAGGAAAAAAUUGUUGUUAAAGCAUCCGAUCUUGACAUUGCAUUUGUUCUUUGGGAUGAGUUUUCCUUCAUAUCGAUGUUGUUGGGAGUAAACACAUAUACAAGUCUGGAAGAAUGGUCUGAAAAAUAUGGCAACUUUUAUAAACCAUCAAGAUUCUUGGAAGAAAGAGCCAUAAAUGGUGUCCCAUUGAGUGCACCUAUAAAUACGGGUUCUAGAGCACGUAUGUAAGCAAGAGUAUACAACUAUAUGUUCAUGGGUUGAGUUAUAUGAAGCUAAGUAUGAUAUGAAACACGAUACUUUGGUAACUUUGAUAGUUUUUGUAUUAUAAUAUUUGGUUGUAUCAUUAUUUGAUGUUUUUUAGUAUAAUAAUUUGAUGAUUGUAGUA